UGCCUCAGUAAGCGGAGCAGAGAACGUAUGCUAAUCCCUCAGGGAACAGGCAGAAAGGCCUCCAUUUUGAAGAACCAGCAAACCUCCUGAGAGGAGAUGUCAUCUGUUUCUUUCAUCUCCACUCAUCCUGCAAAUAGUUCCUGCAUGAAUAAAGCCUUUGAACUCCAGAAACUGAUGUGCAAGUGGUGGCCAUAGCAGCUUUUCAAAUGUACC